UUCCCAAAUACCAGAGGAAGCAGAGUGGUUUACAGUCCUGGACCUUCAGGAUGCCUUCUUCUGCAUCCCUGUACAUCCUGACUCUCAAUUCUUGUUUGCCUUUGAAGAUACUUCAAACCCAACAUCUCAACUCACCUGGACUAUUUUACCCCAAGGGUUCAGGGAUAGUCCCCAUCUAUUUGGCCAGGCAUUAGCCCAAGACUUGAGCCAAUCCUCAUACCUGGACACUUGUCCUUCGGUAGGUGGAUGAUUUACUUUUGGCCGCCCAUUCAGAAACCUUGUGCCAUCAAGCCACCCAAGCGCUCUUCAAUUUCCUCGCUACCUGUGGCUACAUGGUUUCCAAACCAAAGGCUCAACUCUGCUCACAGCAGGUUACUUAGGGCUAAAAUUAUCCAAAGGCACCAGGGCCCUCAGUGAGGAACACAUCCAGCCUAUACUGGCUUAUCCUCAUCCCAAAACCCUAAAGCAACUAAGGGGAUUCCUUGGCGUAAUAGGUUUCUGCCGAAAAUGGAUUCCCAGGUAUGGCGAAAUAGCCAGGUCAUUAAAUACACUAAUUAAGGAAACUCAGAAAGCCAAUACCCAUUUAGUAAGAUGGACAACUGAAGUAGAAGUGGCUUUCCAGGCCCUAACCCAAGCCCCAGUGUUAAGUUUGCCAACAGGGCAAGACUUUUCUUCAUAUGUCACAGAAAAAACAGGAAUAGCUCUAGGAGUCCUUACACAGAUCCGAGGGAUGAGCUUGCAACCUGUGGCAUACCUGACUAAGGAAAUUGAUGUAGUGGCAAAGGGUUGACCUCAUUGUUUACGGGUAGUGGUGGCAGUAGCAGUCUUAGUAUCUGAAGCAGUUAAAAUAAUACAGGGAAGAGAUCUUACUGUGUGGACAUCUCAUGAUGUGAAUGGCAUACUCACUGCUAAAGGAGACUUGUGGCUGUCAGACAACUGUUUACUUAAAUGUCAGGCUCUAUUACUUGAAGGGCCAGUGCUGCGACUGUGCACUUGUGCAACUCUUAACCCAGCCACAUUUCUUCCAGACAAUGAAGAAAAGAUAAAACAUAACUGUCAACAAGUAAUUUCUCAAACCUAUGCCACUCGAGGGGACCUUUUAGAGGUUCCUUUGACUGAUCCCGACCUCAACUUGUAUACUGAUGGAAGUUCCUUUGUAGAAAAAGGACUUCGAAAAGUGGGGUAUGCAGUGGUCAGUGAUAAUGGAAUACUUGAAAGUAAUCCCCUCACUCCAGGAACUAGUGCUCAGCUAGCAGAACUAAUAGCCCUCACUUGGGCACUAGAAUUAGGAGAAGAAAAAAGGGCAAAUAUAUAUACAGACUCUAAAUAUGCUUACCUAGUCCUCCAUGCCCAUGCAGCAAUAUGGAAAGAAAGGGAAUUCCUAACUUCUGAGAGAACACCUAUCAAACAUCAGGAAGCCAUUAGGAAAUUAUUAUUGGCUGUACAGAAACCUAAAGAGGUGGCAGUCUUACACUGCCGGGGUCAUCAGAAAGGAAAGGAAAGGGAAAUAGAAGAGAACUGCCAAGCAGAUAUUGAAGCCAAAAGAGCUGCAAGGCAGGACCCUCCAUUAGAAAUGCUUAUAAAACAACCCCUAGUAUAGGGUAAUCCCCUCCGGGAAACCAAGCCCCAGUACUCAGCAGGAGAAACAGAAUGGGGAACCUCACGAGGACAGUUUUCUCCCCUCGGGACGGCUAGCCACUGAAGAAGGGAAAAUACUUUUGCCUGCAACUAUCCAAUGGAAAUUACUUAAAACCCUUCAUCAAACCUUUCACUUAGGCAUCGAUAGCACCCAUCAGAUGGCCAAAUCAUUAUUUACUGGACCAGGCCUUUUCAAAACUAUCAAGCAGAUAGUCAGGGCCUGUGAAGUGUGCCAGAGAAAUAAUCCCCUGCCUUAUCGCCAAGCUCCUUCAGGAGAACAAAGAACAGGCCAUUACCCUGGAGAAGACUGGCAACUGAUUUUACCCACAAGCCCAAACCUCAGGGAUUUCAGUAUCUACUAGUCUGGGUAGAUACUUUCACGGGUUGGGCAGAGGCCUUCCCCUGUAGGACAGAAAAGGCCCAAGAGGUAAUAAAGGCACUAGUUCAUGAAAUAAUUCCCAGAUUCGGACUUCCCCGAGGCUUACAGAGUGACAAUAGCCCUGCUUUCCAGGCCACAGUAACCCAGGGAGUAUCCCAGGCGUUAGGUAUACGAUAUCACUUACACUGCGCCUGAAGGCCACAGUCCUCAGGGAAGGUCGAGAAAAUGAAUGAAACACUCAAAGGACAUCUAAAAAAGCAAACCCAGGAAACCCACCUCACAUGGCCUGCUCUGUUGCCUAUAGCCUUAAAAAGAAUCUGCAACUUUCCCCAAAAAGCAGGACUUAGCCCAUACGAAAUGCUGUAUGGAAGGCCCUUCAUAACCAAUGACCUUGUGCUUGACCCAAGACAGCCAACUUAGUUGCAGACAUCACCUCCUUAGCCAAAUAUCAACAAGUUCUUAAAACAUUACAAGGAACCUAUCCCUGAGAAGAGGGAAAAGAACUAUUCCACCCUUGUGACAUGGUAUUAGUCAAGUCCCUUCCCUCUAAUUCCCCAUCCCUAGAUACAUCCUGGGAAGGACCCUACCCAGUCAUUUUAUCUACCCCAACUGCGGUUAAAGUGGCUGGAGUGGAGUCUUGGAUACAUCACACUUGAGUCAAAUCCUGGAUACUGCCAAAGGAACCUGAAAAUCCAGGAGACAACGCUAGCUAUUCCUGUGAACCUCUAGAGGAUUUGCGCCUGCUCUUCAAACAACAACCAGGAGGAAAAAUCGAAGCUGUAAAACUACAAAUGGAGCCCAAGAUGCAGUCCAAGACUAAGAUCUACCGCAGACCCCUGGACCGGCCUGCUAGCCCACGAUCUGAUGUUAAUGACAUCAAAGGCACCCCUCCUGAGGAAAUCUCAGCUGCACAACCUCUACUACGCCCCAAUUCAGCAGGAAGCAGUUAGAGCGGUCGUCGGCCAACCUCCCCAACAGCACUUAGGUUUUCCUGUUGAGAUGGGGGACUGAGAGACAGGACUAGCUGGAUUUCCUAGGCUGACUAAGAAUCCCUAAGCCUAGCUGGGAAGGUGACCACAUCCACCUUUAAACACGGGGCUUGCAACUUAGCUCACACCUGACCAAUCAGAGAGCUCACUAAAAUGCUAAUUAGGCAAAGACAGGAGGUAAAGAAAUAGCCAAUCAUCUAUUGCCUGAGAGCACAGCAGGAGGGACAAUGAUCGGGAUAUAAACCCAAGUCUUCGAGCCGGCAACGGCAACCCCCUUUGGGUCCCCUCCCUUUGUAUGGGAGCUCUGUUUUCAUGCUAUUUCACUCUAUUAAAUCUUGCAACUGCA
rnacentral:lncRNA from 1 species